UAUAUAUAUAAAAUAUACACACACACAUUUAUUAUGGAUAUAUAUGGAAAUAUGAUGUUACUCUUGAGCUUCUAGUCAAAGGUGACAUAAUGAACACAAACACAAGAACAUCAACAAUUGAACAUUAGUAAAAGCUCAAGUGUUAAUUUUUUUUUUUUUUUGUAGUACUGUAAUCUAAACCUCAAACUUCAAAGUUAUGUUUGAUGCUGUUUUUCAUGUACUGUAUUUUUAAAUCUUAAACUUACCUUAUAAUAUGUUUAAAGUCAGAGGCUAACAUAAGCUGCUGUGGUAAAUUCUUAUCUUGAGAUUAUGUUGUAAGAAACUGUUAGGUAAUGGAAGACCUGAUCUCUUCCGCUUGUUGGCGAACGUGCAUCCAUCGUACGACAUUGUCAUCCUUGAAUCUUAUGCCAUGAGUCACAAUUUGUGUGGGCUUAAUUAUUUAUAUUUUUUGUUUAGAACUUAAUCAUACUAUUUGAAGUUGUAAGUUCUGCCAUUGUUUUUAUAGUGUAAUACAAUUUAAAGUUUUGAAAAAUUAUACUAGUCACUGAUUUAUUUUCCAUGAGUUGGAUAUUAGUCAUGGCCAAGACAUGGAAUAGUGUGACAGGUAAAUGAAAAAAUUAUAACACUGUUGAGUGGUCAGAGAGUUAAUGAAAAGGACACUCUUGUGAAUAAAAGAUGAAGGGUCAACAUUUUUGCGUAUGUCCUCAAUCCUCAUAGUUGCCAUUGGAAGUUAAUUUGUUUGUUUGCCUGUUUUGGCACAAAAUAAUGCACACACGUGUGCAAUUGUUUAAGCACACUUGUUCCCAUCAUGCUGAGUAAUAAAUCUGUGACUAUUUUAGUUGAAAUAUAAUGAAAGCAUUUUCUAAGGUUAGGUGCUUCUUAGUAGAUAAUGUCUUAAGCACAUUGUUUUUAUACACGGCAUAAAAUUCUAACGUAGAUUGGAUGUAAGGGUUAGACUUUUAACUUCUACAUUAAGACGUACAGUAUAAAGAAAGUUAGGUAUAAGGUGUUGAGCCGAGGCUUUAAAAGUUUAUAUUUAUAACGUUGGUAAACAGAGAAUGAAAUAUUAGAAUGGGAUAAAGGCCAAGUAAUAUAAAUGCUAAUAGUGUAUCGGAAAAAUUAACCUCUAUGCAAUAUUUGCAUUAUUUGUAGAACCUGUGAGUAUGCAGAACUAUUGAUUAAAAACUACUUUAUCAUACAGUAUCUGUAAAUUAAAUAUAGUAGACAGCUAAGAAGUACACCUGCAACACAACUCUUCUCAUAUUAAGUCUAUCAAGAUGAAUAUUGUCUAAUACGUAAGAUUUUUAGGGUUGCACAUUCCUAUGGAUGCAAGUAUUCUUAACAAAAACUAUUUAUAUUUAAAGUUUUAGGUCAAGUGUAUCUAGCAAAGUUAGAGGGGAACUCAAAAGGACGUAUUAAGCACUGUAGUUAGUAGACAGUUGGUAAUAUCAAGGUGUGAACUGCCUAAUACUAAUACUUAGAAUAUUUCAUUUUAACAAAUUAAAUCGGCUGAUAAAGUACUCUAAAACGUAACCAUACAUAACACUCAAACAUACACCACCAUUCCAAAACUCUAUAUAUGCACUGUAUAUACUGUACAUGUAUACAAAGACAAACCAAAAGGAUAAAGGAGAGAUUUUAGUAUUUGAGUGAGACAUGAGUUAUUAUCUUUCACAAAUUCUUCACCUUUGCUUUUUUAUGGUUAUUAAACAGGAUGAGAAUUCAUUAAGCAUUUACAUGUCCACUUAUGGAACCUACUCAACUUUCCUUGACCGUGCCAGCUUGGUCUCUUAUGUAUUAAACUGCUUACGACCUUCGAAGCUUUACCACCCAUAGUUGCUAUUGCAGGCAACCAUGUGUUGCUAGGACAACCUCGUAGUGCUUCAGGGGUUUGUAAACUGUUUAGUAAAUGUAAACAGAGGCCACCGUUAUUGAUGGCAGUUUCACAAGCAGUUAUCGUUUGCAGUGAUUGUGAGGCUCGGCGUCCCUCAGGCCCAGUCUCUGACCAGGCCUCUUGGGCUGGUAAAUGCCUGAUAAAUCCUGGUCCAGGUAUCUCACAAUUGUUACUGUACUCAAUAAUUAAGUAAAUUAUGCCUGUGAGUCAUAUUUUCCUCAUUUAACACUAAGCAAAAUAAUGAAGUUUUGCAGGUCUAGUAAAAAAGUACUGGGUGUAAAAUUGGUUUCAACAGAGUUUAGAUCUAAAGGUGUUUUCCUUUAAUAAGAAUAAGUUGUGUAUUUGAAUUUAUUGAUGUUCUAAAUACUCUAAAAAUAAAUAAAUAUAUAGUUACAAAUAAAUAGCUAGUUACAAAGAAGACCUAUAAUGAUUUGUGCUGUAUAGGUGUAUGUAAAAAAAAAUAUUAAUAGUUUAAUACAUGUAUUUUUCAUAAAUUUGACCUGUGCUUUUCAACUCUGUUUAAAGAUUAAUAACAUGAUCAUCAAUAUCAAUGGCAAAAUAUUUAUUGUAAAAUUACUGAUAUAGCAUUGAAAUGUCCUGUAGUGACUCCAGACUUCUCAAGAUGGAACCCUGAAAUGUGAGCCUCAAGAAAUUAAUGUUCAGGUUUCUCUUGAGCCUCAAUUUCUGUAGCUUUUAUGUACACUUUUAUGCACUAACUUGGACAUAUGUUUUGAGUUUAUCUGAUCAAACAUUCUCUGCUGAUCAGUCAUUUGCAGUCGGGUCAAAUGUUAAUGACGAACCUUAUUCAUGUGUUAGUGUGGAGGUAAUAGAGAAGUGCUUCAAAUAACCAAAGAACUAUUUAUGUCAACUUCUCUGGUAAAUAAUAGAAAUCAAUUCUAUUUAUUGCUUACAUAUAAACAUUUUUCAAAUCUACAAAAUAAAUGGCGACUAAAAGUGGAGGUAGUUUUGGCGGCUAGCAUAGUAAAGGAGCACUGAUUUUGAGACGAAAAUAUUGUGGAGUCUUAAGACGCAUACCAGACCACCCGUAGUGCAAUGUUUGUGAUUGAAGAGUUAACUCCAAUCUGUUGGAGUUGGCAAUAUAUUACUUUCUUCAACAGUAGUGCUUCCAAGGGUGACAAAUGCCAGCCAGUCUACAAAGUUUUACAAAUGAUGCAAAUGACAACCAUUUGUUAUGGUACAUCAUAAAAUUUUUGUUGCUGUAGUACAUAGCUUGAGUAUUGAAGUACUGGAGCUAAAGCUACUACAGCUAGUAGCUUGUAGGAUAUUUGUUCUUUAUAUGUGAAUGGUAACUAGAUAUUUUUGGUGCCAAGUUUUGUGGAUCCCAUUUGAUUAUUCCUUGAUGUUUAGUUGUGUGUGUAGUUUUGUUAGGACUGAGGUAACCUGAUUAUUUUGACAUGGGGAAAAUUCACUUCUGUGUACAUGUAAUUAUUAGCUUGAAACAAAUUAAUUAAUGCUUUGUGGUGUUCUUAUGGAAGUGAAUUUGCUUUAAAUUUAUAUAUAUUUUUUAUAAUUAUUCAUUUGCAAACUGAAAUUUCAUAAUCUUUUCUUGAAUUGUGCAGAAAAUGUAUACAUAUAAUACAUUAAGAACUUAUCAUUGCCUUUAUUGAAAUAUUUUUCAUCUUUGGACUAAUUGUAUUCCAUGCAAGUUCAUAUCCAGGAAUAUUACCAUCUAAGUUGUGAGUAAUCUGUAGAAGAAUACCAACCAUAAAAUAAUUUGCUUUCCAAUAUGUGGUUUAGCAUUCAAAGUUGUUCUGUUAGAUAACUUGUCUUGAGAAGCCAAACUAUUUUGUUGUGAUCAUGCACUUAAUCCAUUUGGAAAUAUUGUUUUAAAUUUAGCAGCAAGUGCUGUCAAUAUAAAGCUAACAAUGUAGGUGUACAUGUUUUGAGAAUCAAUGAGAGCUUGCAGCUAUCUCCAUUCAGAGAAGUAUAAAUUUAUUAAAGGCUAUCAAAUGCCAUACUAAAAAAGAAAACAGUAGGUAGAAUGUAAUUAGGCAAUCCUACAAGAUACUAGUUGUGACAUUCCAUGUGACUUUGCUGCUUGUCAUAUUGUCACUGAAAUAUUAUUAAUGUUUGAUGAACAGACGUGAUCAUAAUAAUACACAUUUUUUGCAGAUUUCUUCGAUCCUAAAUAAAAAGACAUAUUGUACUAACUGUAAAAAAAAAAAAAAUAGAAAGAUGGAAAACCUUGUGCUUAACGACAUUCUUUAUAACGUACUUAGUCUUCUAUUAAAAUAAUUACCUUAUUUAGGUUUUCCUUUUGAAAUAUUUCGGCAAAUUUUAAAGUAAUUUUGUAUCUAGUAGUGUCUUUAUCGGUUAUUAAACUAUACCAGAUUUAACUGUUAAAGCUGGAUGGUGCAGGCCAAGGCUUUCUUACUCACAGUUUGUCACAGUUACCACACAUACUGAAGUUGGCAGCUCGGCAGCAGCGCUCAAAACAUUUACCAGAGAAAUUUGCAGAUUAUAAAUUUUGAAUCUAAUGUGUUGAUGCUAAACAUCAUAAUGUGUUGAUGCUAAACAUCAUAAUGUGUUGAUGCUAGACAUCAUAAUGUGUUGAUGCUAGACAUCAUAAUGUGUUGAUGCUAAACAUCAUAAUGUGUUGAUGCUUAACAUCAUAAUGUGUUGAUGCUUAACAUCAUAAUGUGUUGAUGCUUAACAUCAUAAUGUGUUGAUGCUAGACAUCAUAAUGUGUUGAUGCUAAACAUCAUAAUGUGUUGAUGCUUAACAUCAUAAUGUGUUGAUGCUAAACAUCAUAAUGUGUUGAUGCUAAACAUCAUAAUGUGUUGAUGCUAAACAUCAUAAUGUGUUGAUGCUAGACAUCAUAAUGUGUUGAUGCUAGACAUCAUAAUGUGUUGAUGCUAAACAUCAUAAUGUGUUGAUGCUAAACAUCAUAAUGUGUUGAUGCUAAACAUCAUAAUGUGUUGAUGCUAAACAUCAUAAUGUGUUGAUGCUAAACAUCAUAAUGUGUUGAUGCUACACAUCAUAAUGUGUUGAUGCUAGACGUCAUAAUGUGUUGAUGCUAGACGUCAUAAUGUGUUGAUGCUAGACGUCAUAAUGUGUUGAUGCUAGACGUCAUAAUGUGUUGAUGCUAGACGUCAUAAUGUGUUGAUGCUAGACGUCAUAAUGUGUUGAUGCUAGACAUCAUAAUGUGUUGAUGCUAGACAUCAUAAUGUGUUGAUGCUAGACGUCAUAAUGUGUUGAUGCUAGACGUCAUAAUGUGUUGAUGCUUAACAUCAUAAUGUGUUGAUGCUAGACAUCAUAAUGUGUUGAUGCUAAACAUCAUAAUGUGUUGAUGCUAAACAUCAUAAUGUGUUGAUGCUAGACGUCAUAAUGUGUUGAUGCUUAACAUCAUAAUGUGUUGAUGCUUAACAUCAUAAUGUGUUGAUGCUAGACAUCAUGAUGUGUUGAUGCUAGACAUUAUGAUGUGUUGAUGCUAGACAUCAUAAUGGGUUGAUGCUAGACAUCAUAAUGUGUUGAUGCUAGACAUCAUGAUGUGUUGAUGCUAGACAUUAUGAUGUGUUGAUGCUAGACAUCAUAAUGGGUUGAUGCUUAACAUCAUAAUGGGUUGAUGCUUAUCAUAAUGUGUUGAUGCUACACAUCAUAAUGUGUUGAUGCUACACAUCAUAAUGUUGAUGGUAAACAUCGUGAUGUCAAAAUAUUUUGGCAUUCAUAUACUGUACUACACUUAAGCUUAGAGUAUAUUAAUUAUAAUGAUACUAUUCUUAUAAUAAUGCUACAUAGGCUUUUCUGAUUCUGAAAAUAUAUUUCAUUCAAUUAUUAAAGUAUUAAAUGGGCAAACAGAAAAUGGCGACAAGUGAUGGGCUUUAGUAAUUCUAGAAUUCCAAAUGUAGAGGACGCAGUAGCUUGUCGAUGAGAAAAGUCGACGUGAUUCUACUUUGAGUCCAUUGUGAGUGUGUGUGUGUGUGCCUGAUGCUUGAGUGGAUCCCAGUGUUUGGUAUAGGAGAAAACACCAUUUAUAUGUAGGUAAUGGAUAGCAGGUGUGAUAUAUAGUAUACUGAAAGAUCCCUGAUAAUGUAACUGGCAAUUGAACUAUUUAUGUAAGUUAUGUCAAUUUGUUCAAACCUUGAAGAUAAUACUUCAACCAGUUUUUUUUUUUUUACCUGCCCAGCCUCCAAGAGUGAUGGUACUUACAACAACUGUGAAUGGAAUGUAAAAAAAAAUAUGAACUGCUGUAGCAAAUUAUGUCCACAUAUUGUAUUUUAAUUCUGAAAAAGCAUAACCAAAAACUGAAAUAGACUAACCAUUAACCUAACCUAAACUGUCCUGUAAUGAACAAUCUUUCCAUAUGGAAUGUUUGGCCAAAUUUUGUACACAAGUGUACAAUACAAGGUCUAGGAAAAAUUUGGUUGGGCUGUUGCGUUCACUCUUGUAUCUCUCCGAAAUUAAAUGGCACAAAAUGGGAGCUACUUUUGCAUACAACUGCCCUAUUUUCUACAUUCCAUCAGCAGUCACUAUAGGGCCUAUCAUGUGUGGAUGACUGGUUGAUUUAUACAGAUUUUGCAUUUAUUGCUAGCUGAUAGUACUGGAGUACUACUGCUUCCCCUUCCAUCCCUUCAGUAUGAAUUUAAGCUGUAGAUUUUAACAACUUGUGAAGCAUGUGUGAUGUUAGUAGGAUAGAUAAAAGAAUGGAUGUUACGUAAAGACAAUGUGUCAAUUCUGUCAGUCAUAGGAUUGGGCGAAGAGUGCUCAGAGAGGAUUCGGCUGCAUUAAAAGAAUGAGGGAUGGCUAAGAGGGACUGAUAGGGAAGGGAACUAUCAGGGGGAAAGUGCCAAGCCAUUAUGACUAUAUAGCACUGGGAAGAGAUCAGGAUAAGAAUUUGGGGUGGAGGAAUGUUGCACAACCACUUGGACGGUUGGGGAUUGAGACCGUCGUUCUACCGUCCAGUCCAAGUGGUUGAGGACUGAAAGGGAGUGUGUGUGGAUAGUGCAUUAGAAGUACUGUGCUAGGAAACAAGGCUAGGUUGCACAAGUUUAUGAUGAGUAAAUACUUGAUAUGUCUGUGUAUGAUGCUUGCCAGGAACACUUUAUAUUGAAUCUUAUAAAGUGGAAGCAUGAUGCUGUGAAUGAUUUGCUUAAUAUGGUGGUGCUGGUUGUCUAUUAAAUCCUGUAGAAUGUAUGGUACAAUGAAGGGAUAGAUGUUUGUAUGGUACAGUGAAGGGAUAGGUGUUUGUAUUGUACAGUGAAUGGAUAGUUGUAUGGUACAGUGAAGGGAUAGUUGUAUGGUACAGUGAAGGGAUAGUUGUAUGGUACAGUGAAGGGAUAGUUGUAUGGUACAGUGAAGGGAUAGUUGUAUGGUACAGUGAAUGGAUAGUUGUAUGGUACAGUGAAGGGAUAGUUGUAUGGUACAGUGAAGGGAUAGUUGUAUGGUACAGUGAAUGGAUUGGUGUUUGUAUGGUAUAGUGAAGGGAUAGUUGUAUGGUACAGUGAAGGGAUAGUUGUAUGGUACAGUGAAGGGAUAGUUGUAUGGUACAGUGAAUGGAUUGGUGUAUGGUACAGAGAAGGGAUAGGUGUUUGUAUGGUACAGUGAAGGGAUAGGUGUUUGUAUGGUUCGGUGAAGGGAUAGAUAUUUGUAUGGUACAGUGAAGGGAUAGGUGUUUGUAUGGUACAGUGAAGGGAUAGGUGUUUGUAUGGUACAGUGAAGGGAUAGGUGUUUGUAUGGUACAGUGAAGGGAUAGGUGUUAAUAUUUAAUGUGUGUGUGUGUCUCAUUCAUCCUUAAGUGUUCCAUUUUUUCUGGAAUUUUUGCUUCACUUCUCAUAUGUCCAUCAUUUUUAUGUUAUUGAAAAUUUGUUUGCAUAUUUAUUCUAAUAAUUAUUUUUUAUAUAAUUUUAUUUGUUGCUUUGGGUCUCCAUGAAAUCCUUAUUUCUCAUAUUUUGAUUAUUGUGUCUUUAUUAUUUCUCUCUAUUGCCAUACAUUUGUUGUGUUAGAGGGGUUGCCAUGUAGUAUCUUCUGCUCCCUUCCAGAAAGUUAUACAUUGUAUCCUUAUAUAUACUGUAUGUUGUUUUAAUAUGGCACAACCUUAAUUUUCUUUAAGUGAUUGAUCAUUAAUUAUUUUGACAUACUAUAGCCAUUGCUAUGUACUUAUGUUCUGGGUAAACACAUUUUGAUAAUUUCUAUCUUUUGACUUAUGGGAGGGAAUUAGACUGAAAAUAGAUUACUUGCCUUUUGUUAUCAGGCUGUUAUUUUAGUGUGCUGUACACAGCAGGGUAUUUUCAAUGCAUUACUAGUCUUUGUUUGAGAGCUCAUUGUGGCCAUGAAAAUAUAAAGUCGUCAAGUUUCUUAAUUAGUGAAUUGAGCUCAAUAUGGUAAAUGACUGUGAUAAAAAUUACUGGCUGUCCUUCCUACCCGCCCUCCAUCCACUAAACUUAGGCUUAAAAGUUAGUCUGUAUAAUGACUGGUAUAUAAAGUUUAGCUUUGGUGGUUGUUAAUGUAAAUGUUUCUCAUAGUUAAAAUAACACUUUGUUUCAUUUGUGUUAAAUUUAAUGUUUCAUUUGUGUUUGAGAUUAUGUAUUACUAAAUGAGUAUGACUCAUUUAGUAAUACAUACUCUUAAACACAAAUGAAACGUAAAAUUUAACACAAAUAAAACAAACUGGUAUUUUAACUAUGGGAACCAUUUACGUUAACAACUACAAAAGCUGAACUUUAUAUACCAGUCAUUACAAAUCGUGAUGAAGACAUCUUAGCUUUCAUUUGGUAACUAAGUGUAUAGAUGGUGUGCUUAGCUGUCAUGUCUGGUGUUUUCUCAAAUAUCAAAACUUUUGUACUCGUUGCUUCAGAUGCAUUUGACUACUGGACCGAUAUUGGGUGUUAAUAGAUUUUUAUAAAAAAAAACACUGAAAGGUCAUUUGCUGUUAAGUGUAAAGUAUUACUCAAUUCAGAUGAUGACACAAAUAUCACGUGAUGAUAAAAUACUUGUUACGGUAAUAAGCAAAUAAACAAUAAAUCACUUUAUUGGUACGAGUAUUUUGUAAUUAAUUUUUCAGUCAUGGUAGAGCCGCAAUCCAUCUCGUGUGGAAAUAUCAGUCGGGUGCUCAUGCCACUGAUCCCUGGAUGUGUGCCAAAGCUAGGAGUGCAGGACAUAAGUGUUUAUAAUGCAGUCUGGUUAACAGUUAUUGUCUGCAUUCUUUGUUUUUGGGACAUCCUUGACUGUUGUGAUAACAUGGGAGAGGUAAGCCAACCAACAAUAGAUCGAAGCUUUCCCAGGACUAAUUGUUACAGUCAUGAUCCUGUUAACUUCAUUUUGUAUUUUGUAAUAUUUUGCACAAGAUUUUGGCAUUAAUAUUGAGUAAACUUGAUUUUUAAUUAACUCCAUUGUGAUAAAUUUUCUGACAGCAAACCAUCUUUGAAGAUAAAUGAAAGAACUUCCCUGUACACAUUAAUCUAUUUGCUGUAAUAGAAUAUGCAUUAUUUAAUAAUCAGAGCUUCAAUGUAUGGCUUUGCUUUGUCAGCUUUCAGAAUAUCUUCACCCUUAGCAUAGUGUGUUAUCAAGGCAGUGUGUAUGAUCCAUGAAUUUACCCACAAACCUAUUAUUUAUUUAUUUUAUGGGUAAAGGAUUGUGAAGAGAUUGUGUUAGUUUCCAGUUUAAGUAUUGUAAUUUUUUUUGUCAAUAAUCACACACUAAAUCCA